rnacentral:rRNA from 1 species
GGGGGCCCGCACAAGCAGCGGAGCAUGUGGUUUAAUUCGAAGCAACGCGAAGAACCUUACCAGGGCUUGACAUCCCUCUGACCGGUGUAGAGAUACAUCUUCCCUUCGGGGCAGAGGAGACAGGUGGUGCAUGGUUGUCGUCAGCUCGUGUCGUGAGAUGUUGGGUUAAGUCCCGCAACGAGCGCAACCCUUAUGUUUAGUUGCCAUCAGGUAAAGCUGGGCACUCUAGAGAGACUGCCGGGGUCAACUCGGAGGAAGGUGGGGAUGACGUCAAAUCAUCAUGCCCCUUACGUCUUGGGCUUCACGCAUGCUACAAUGGCCGGUACAAAGGGCUGCGAUCCCGUGAGGGGGAGCGAAUCCCAGAAAGCCGGUCUCAGUUCGGAUUGGGGUCUGCAACCCGACCUCGUGAAGCCGGAGUCGCUAGUAAUCGCAGAUCAGCACUGCUGCGGUGAAUACGUUCCCGGGGCUUGUACACACCGCCCGUCACACCACGAAAGUGGGCAACACCCGAAGCCGGUGGCCUAACCCUUGUGGAGGGAGCCGUCGAAGGUGGGGCUCGCGAUUGGGGUGAAGUCGUAAGCAAGGUAACCGUAAGGGC